rnacentral:tRNA from 1 species
UUCCAGGUAGCUUAAUGGUUGAGCAACCAACCGGCAAUUGGGGGAUCUGGGUUAAGUCCCGGCCUGGGCU